CCUACGGGAGGCUGCAGUCGAGAAUUAUUCACAAUGGGGGAAACCCUGAUGGUGCGACGCCGCGUGGGGGAAUGAAGGUCUUCGGAUUGUAAACCCCUGUCAUGUGGGAGCAAAUUAAAAAGAUAGUACCACAAGAGGAAGAGACGGCUAACUCUGUGCCAGCAGCCGCGGUCAUACAGAGGUCUCAAGCGUUGUUCGGAAUCACUGGGCGUAAAGCGUGCGUAGGCUGUUUCGUAAGUCGUGUGUGAAAGGCGCGGGCUCAACCCGCGGACGGCACAUGAUACUGCGAGACUAGAGUAAUGGAGGGGGAACCGGAAUUCUCGGUGUAGCAGUGAAAUGCGUAGAUAUCGAGAGGAACACUCGUGGCGAAGGCGGGUUCCUGGACAUUAACUGACGCUGAGGCACGAAGGCCAGGGGAGCGAAAGGGAUUAGAUACCCUGGUAGUC
rnacentral:rRNA from 1 species